rnacentral:lncRNA from 1 species
GAUGGAUUCAUGACAAAAUUGUGUUUUGGUGAUGGUGAUGUGUUUGUAGAUCUUACUUUACUAAACAUUCUUGCUGCUUACAAUUAUCUCUAUCUAUAACAGUACUUUCUGUGGAAAAUGUUAUUGAAAAUCUUCAAAUUUUAAGAAAAUUAUUAAAAAUUGACUAUGAAGGGCAAUAACUCCUUAGGGGGUCAAUUGACUAUUUUGGUCAUACUGGCUUAUUUUUAUUUCUUAC